rnacentral:rRNA from 1 species
UACGGGGGGAGCAAGCGUUGUUCGGAUUUACUGGGCGUAAAGGGCGCGUAGGCGGCCUCCGCAAGUCGACUGUGAAAUCUCCGGGCUUAACCCGGAACGGUCAGCCGAUACUGCGGGGCUAGAGUGCAGAAGGGGCAACUGGAAUUCUCGGUGUAGCGGUGAAAUGCGUAGAUAUCGAGAGGAACACCUGCGGCGAAAGCGGGUUGCUGGGCUGACACUGACGCUGAUGCGCGAAAGCUAGGGGAGCGAACGGG